rnacentral:lncRNA from 1 species
AGCAAAGACUUCCUGCAGCUGGUUCACUUGGGGUCCUGUCCCCUAACCCAUGGACACCGUCUCACAUGGCGCCUGCUGGGAGAAAGGGCCAGGAUUCAACCAGGCCUCGCCCCCCUGAGUUUCCCAAGGUUGGAUAGAGCUUGUGGUCCUUUCCCAGGACCCUGGAAGACCUUCCCAGGAGAACCACUGGGAGGCCACUGGCCUUUCGAUUUCCUCACCAUCUUCCUGGAGGUCCUACCGGUCUAAGCAAGAAGGUCGCCAAGCCCUGGGAGUGGAGUCACAGAGAGGGGAGGACAUCCCCGACACUGCCUGCGUUCUGUGGGAAGCGGCCUCCCUGCUAAGGGCCCAGGGUCCUCUGAAGUACCCUUGGAUGGGGCCAGUCUACAGUCGAACUCAUCCUGUGACCAGCGCUGGUUCCAUGAGAAGAAUCCAAGGGGUUCACUCUCAAUGAGGCUUCUCCCCGCCAGCAAUGUUGGAGCCAGACGGGGAGGUGGGGCAAGGAGACAAAGCUGGCUUCCCCUGCAGUCUGAUUCUAUCAUGAGUCCCAGCAGGAGAGAGAUGGCAACUCAGUGUUUCCCUGACCGGUCUGUGAGGGAAGAGAAUAUAAUGAACGGAUGACUGAUAAAGAUGAGGGGAGGAUGGAGCAAGAGCCAUCAGCCUUGGUCAAGGGUGGAGCUCCCUUCUGGUUUCAGAAAUUGCUUCUGACGUGAUUCAGGAACCCAGCAAGGACUGUACCUGAAGCGGGGGUCGCUGUGGCCUCCCAUACCGGAACCAGCCCUGCCACUGCCCCUCCCAUCCCCCACAGGCCCUAGAACAAUGCACGCCCUGGGGCUCUUCCCUCCUGUGCUCCUGUUUCCUGCUGGUGUCCACUGUGGACUGACGUCCACCAGCGCUGGAAGGUGAGGAACCUCCUAGGACAGUUUAUCCAGCUCAGCCUCUGGAGAUGGGGCAAGGCGGACAAGAAAGAGAAGCAGAUCUGGAGGGACAAACAGAAUAUCCCGAACGGUACUGAUACACAGGACAAAGGAACACACUAGAAUCCAGCCAUCAUUUACUGAGCACUAACUGGGGACCUAGCACGAGGACACGCUGUCAAGCUAAGGAGGGGCUUUGAGUAGAAGGAAAAGUGAAAGGACGUCCUCAGGGACAGAAGACUGGCAUCCAGACCCAGAGGGAAGCAGGCACCCCAGGCAGGCAGAGCAGGAGCAGAGAGACUGCAAAGCCCCUUUCGGGGUCCUGGUUCCUGUUCUCUGAAGAGGCCUUGUGGCUUGUAUUUGUGAAAGUCCCUUGAUUGCACACAAUUUCCCCUUUACAUAAGACAGCUUGAGGAAGUUUCAAUUUUUUAAAAAAAGAUUUUAUUUUUUUGACAGAGCUUGUGAGCA